rnacentral:rRNA from 1 species
ACUCCUACGGGAGGCAGCAGUGGGGAAUAUUGCACAAUGGGCGCAAGCCUGAUGCAGCCAUGCCGCGUGUGUGAAGAAGGCCUUGGGUUGUAAAGCACUUUCAGUCGUGAGGAAGGUGGUAGUGUUAAUAGCACUAUCAUUUGACGUUAGCGACAGAAGAAGCACCGGCUAACUCCGUGCCAGCAGCCGCGGUAAUACGGAGGGUGCGAGCGUUAAUCGGAAUUACUGGGCGUAAAGCGCAUGCAGGUGGUUUGUUAAGUCAGAUGUGAAAGCCCGGGGCGUCAACCUCGGAAUAGCAUUUGAAACUGGCAGACUAGAGUACUGUAGAGGGGGUAGAAUUUCAGGUGUAGCGGUGAAAUGCGUAGAGAUCUGAAGGAAUACCGGUGGCGAAGGCGGCCCCCUGGACAGAUACUGACACUCAGAUGCGAAAGCGUGGGAGCAAACAGGAUUAGAUACCCCUGGUAGACUGUCA